rnacentral:rRNA from 1 species
GACGAACGCUGGCGGCGCGCCUAACACAUGCAAGUCGAACGAGAGAUGAAGAGCUUGCUCUUCAAAUCGAGUGGCGAACGGGUGAGUAACGCGUGAGGAACCUGCCUCAAAGAGGGGGACAACAGUUGGAAACGACUGCUAAUACCGCAUAAGCCCACGGCUCGGCAUCGAGCAGAGGGAAAAGGAGUGAUCCGCUUUGAGAUGGCCUCGCGUCCGAUUAGCUAGUUGGUGAGGUAACGGCCCACCAAGGCGACGAUCGGUAGCCGGACUGAGAGGUUGAACGGCCACAUUGGGACUGAGACACGGCCCAGACUCCUACGGGAGGCAGCAGUGGGGAAUAUUGCACAAUGGGGGAAACCCUGAUGCAGCGACGCCGCGUGGAGGAAGAAGGUCUUCGGGUUGUAAACUUCUUUUAAGAGGGACGAAGAAGUGACGUACCUCUUGAAUAAGCCACGGCUAACUACGUG